rnacentral:tRNA from 1 species
GAUCAGGUGGCCGAGUGGUUAAGGCGAUGGACUGCUAAUCCAUUGGGGUUUCCCCGACUU